rnacentral:rRNA from 1 species
UCGAACCUGUAAAGCAGACCCGUGAACAUGUUUAAAUAUGUUUGUUGUCGUGAUGUUGGAUGCCUUCGCGUACAACAUCACGCACUCGGCCCCAAACGACGCAAGUUGCUUGGGUGUACUAACCUCUCGGCGCGGCAAGCGCCAAGGUAAACAAAAUCGAUCGCCUCUCUGUCCGGGUCCUGCAUGUGGCACCCAUGAUGUGAAGAGGAGAAUCAAUUGAAAGUCAUAAUGACUCUCGGCAACGGAUAUCUCGGCUCUCGCAUCGAUGAAGAACGUAGCGAAAUGCGAUACUUGGUGUGAAUUGCAUAAUCCCGUGAACCAUCGAGUCUUUGAACGCAAGUUGCGCCCGAAGCCAUCAGGCUGAGGGCACGCCUGCCUGGGCGUCACGCAUCGCGUCGCCCCCAACAUCAUCUAUCCCCGCUUGCUGUAGGGAAAUGAUGCAUGAAUAGUCGGGGCGGAUAUUGGCCUCCCGUUGCCUAUGUGUAGUGGCCGGCCCAAAUAGAUGAACGUGUCGAUUGAUGUCACACGGUAUGUGGUGGUUGGAUUCGUCAACUUGCGGACUUACCGUGUGAGACUAUAUCGAGCCACGGGCACGACCCAAUGGCAGAAGAUGCCCCUCGAAUGCG